CAGUCGGGUCCUAUCGAUCGGAUUCUAUCCGUUCGUCGUUAUCUCGAUCGGCCGCGCGGGGAUCAUAUGGAAUCCGCGCGUACUGUUAUACACCUACGUGUACGACGUAAACGAUUUCGGCCAACGACGAUCGGCGACAAGCGAGCGUUCCGUAACCGUACGCAUUUUCCGCGUUGAUCUAUUUCCAUUGCAUUGGCUCUUGAUGGAGCUAGCCCAACAAUCCAAAGUUAGCAUAAACAUUGUUUGAACUACAUUGACCAGGCGAGAGCCUUGAUUUUAACGGUAAUAACUCACCGGGAGUUGCUACCAGUUUUGGUUUGCAUUUUUUGGAGGAAACGGGAAGGACCCAAGACGAAAAAUUGGAACACCACCGAAGCACUGAGCAUUUGGGGAUCGUACAGACCCACAACAUAAAACACCGGUGCGGUGUACGUGUGUCCUCCGUGAGAAAUUCCGGGACCCGUUCUCCGGCUCUGUGUACUGUGUGUGUGUAAGCCGUGAUUUUAUCUCCGCCGAUUCCGCAUAACGAGAUUGAACUUUGGAGCUGAGGCCGUUUGCAUGCAUUUAAGGUGUACAAAACGACAUCAUCAAGCCGGCAUUUAAAAUUCUGUGGACUAUAUCAACGGGAUACAUCGAUUUAAUUGGAAUAACAUUCAUUAUUGGAUCUUUAACAGUGACUGGAUUAGCAUUACAAGCAGGACAAGCUGCUCAAUUGGAAUUUAGCACAACCACAAGGUAAGGGUGUAGUUUCUUUAACUUCCUUAAUUUUUACAACUUGACCUUAUGGUAAUUCAUAUGAGCUAAAUCAGAAUCCCAAUUAUGGAGUUCUGAGUAAAUCUUCUAUAUUAAUACAUGUACAUGUAGCUCUAAAAAUGAUUUAUUGUAUAUACCAACAAAGCUUCAGCAACAUUAUAUGUUUUGAGAAGUUAGUUAUUGAAGAUAUUCUUGUGAAGAGACUAAACUUACCACAAAUAGUGCCAUCUGUAGAUGUUUGUGAGCUGCAAUGUGUCACUCUAAUGAGCUUGAUUUGACUGCACACAAACAAUGCUUUGUAGGGAUAGAGAAAGUUUGCAGGGUGAAUCAUUGCAAUUGCAUGUGCGCCGUUCACACGUCGCCGAUCUCUGUAACAACGUGCCGUGCAAGGCCUGGUUACCCACAAGUAUCCGCAGAGUGGGUGUUUGGUUCUGUGCUGCUGCGGAUGGGUUCUUCUUAAGAGGGCACAGGAAGAGCAAAGGUAUGGGUCUCAAAAAAGAGAAG